rnacentral:rRNA from 1 species
CAGCCGCCGCGGGAAUACAGAGGGUGCGAGCGUUAAUCGGAUUUACUGGGCGUAAAGCGUGCGUAGGCGGCUUCUUAAGUCGGAUGUGAAAUCCCUGAGCUUAACUUAGGAAUUGCAUUCGAUACUGGGAAGCUAGAGUAUGGGAGAGGAUGGUAGAAUUCCAGGUGUAGCGGUGAAAUGCGUAGAGAUCUGGAGGAAUACCGAUGGCGAAGGCAGCCAUCUGGCCUAAUACUGACGCUGAGGUACGAAAGCAUGGGGAGCAAACAGGAUUAGAGACCCCGGUAGUCCCUGUCUCUUAUAC